GAUGAACGCUGGCGGCGUGCCUAAUACAUGCCAGUCGAGCGAACGGACGAGAAGCUUGCUUCUCUGAUGUUAGCGGCGGACGGGUGAGUAACACGUGGAUAACCUACCUAUAAGACUGGGAUAACUUCGGGAAACCGGAGCUAAUACCGGAUGAUAUUUUGAACCGCAUGGUUCAAAAGUGAAAGACGGUCUUGCUGUCACUUAUAGAUGGAUCCGCGCUGCAUUAGCUAGUUGGUAAGGUAACGGCUUACCAAGGCAACGAUGCAUAGCCGACCUGAGAGGGUGAUCGGCCACACUGGAACUGAGACACGGUCCAGACUCCUACGGGAGGCAGCAGUAGGGAAUCUUCCGCAAUGGGCGAAAGCCUGACGGAGCAACGCCGCGUGAGUGAAGAAGGUCUUCGGAUCGUAAAACUCUGUUAUUAGGGAAGAACAUAUGUGUAAGUAACUGUGCACAUCUUGACGGUACCUAAUCAGAAAGCCACGGCUAACUACGUG
rnacentral:rRNA from 1 species